rnacentral:misc_RNA from 1 species
GAAAUGAGAUAAGUAGUGUGAAUUGCAGAAUUCAGUGAAUCAUCGAAUCUUUGAACGCACAUUGCGCCCCUUGGUAUUCCAUGGGGCAUGCCUGUUCGAGCGUCAUUUGUACCCUCAAGCUCUGCUUGGUGUUGGGUGUUUGUCCCGUCUCCGCGCGUGGACUCGCCCCAAAGUGAUUGGCAGCCGGCGUACUGGUCCCGGAGCGCAGCACAUGUCGCGCAAACGAGUGCCUUGGUACGGCGGCGUCCAUAAGCCCCUCUCUCACGCUCUUGACCUCGGAUCAGGUAGGGAUACCCGCUGAACUUUAGC